rnacentral:rRNA from 1 species
UACGGAGGAUCCAAGCGUUAUCCGGAAUCAUUGGGUUUGAAGGGUCCGUAGGCGGUCUUGUAAGUCAGUGGUGAAAGCCCAUCGCUCAACGGUGGAACGGCCAUUGAUACUGCAGGACUUGAAUUAUUGGGAAGUAACUAGAAUAUGUAGUGUAGCGGUGAAAUGCUUAGAGAUUACAUGGAAUACCAAUUGCGAAGGCAGGUUACUACCAAUGGAUUGACGCUGAUGGACGAAAGCGUGGGUAGCGAACAGG